rnacentral:tRNA from 1 species
GCCAAGCGCCCCUUGGUCAACGAACCAGAGAUCAUCGCCCGCUUGGCGGCGGCGGGCUUCGACAUCAUCCCCCUGGAAGGCGUGUCGGUGC